rnacentral:snRNA from 1 species
AUCACUUCUUGGUCUUUUUGCUAAGAUCAACUGUGGUAUCUGUUUUUGUUAGUUUAAUGUGUGAUUCAUCCCUUAUCUGAGACAAUAUAUUAAAUGGACUUUUAGAACUAGGAGAUGGACUAGAAAGUUGCUCCACCUACUUCAUGCCUCCUCCACACAUUGUCUUGAUAUUGCAGUACUUCCACAAAAAAGAAAAGAAA